rnacentral:tRNA from 16 species
GCGGGAGUAGCUCAGGGGCUAGAGCGUCAGCCUUCCAAGCUGAGGGUCGCGGGUUCGAAUCCCGUUUCCCGCUCCA